rnacentral:rRNA from 1 species
CCUACGGGUGGCAGCAGUGGGGAAUAUUGGGCAAUGGAGGCAACUCUGACCCAGCAACGCCGCGUGAAUGAUGAAGGUCUUCGGAUUGUAAAGUUCUGUGAAGGGGGAUGAACACAAUGACGGUACCCCAAUAGCAAGCAACGGCUAACUACGUGCGAGCCGCCGCGGGAAUACGUAGGUGGCAAGCGUUAUCUGGAAUGACUGGGCGGAAGGGGUGCGUGGGUGGGUUAGUAAGUUCGUGGUGUAAUUCAGUGGUUCAAACCCAGCGGUACAACAAAAACUAUUAGACUAGAGUGCUGCAGGGGUAAGUGGAAUUACUAGUGUAGCGGUAGAAUGCGUAGAUAUUAGGAAGAACACCAGGGGCGAAGGCGACUUACUGGACUGUAACUGACACUGAGGCACGAAAGCGUGGGGAGCAAACAGGAUUAGAUACCCGUGUAGUC